GAAAGAACUCUGGGUGACUAGAGAUGCAGUGUGAAUUCCUUUGAAGUGCUAGUGCAUUCGGAGCAGAAGGAACAGCUUGGACACAGCUCAAAAGAGCGUACCAGUCUGCAUGACUUCGGUGGAAUGGCAAAAUCAUAGCAGAAACUCCUAAGAGAGGAGGCCUCUGCACCUCUUACAUCUGAUAAAAGUAAAAUAAGAGCCCCUGCUCAUUUGUACACUAUUGCUGUCACUUGGGAUAUGUUUACUGAAGUGGAAAACAACCUUCAACUCCCUGUAUUCUAGGCUCCUUAGACUGAAUGAAGAUUAUACUGGUGUACACUUGUUCCUUUGCACAGACCAACUGAGGGAUCUCUUUUUUCCAGUAAUAACCUGACCUAAAGUCGAAGAAAACAAGCAUGGAACAAAAGAGCCAGUCCUCCUCACCGCAGAAGCAGUCAGUUAAAAGUCGCUCAAAAUCUACUGAAGAAGUCCAGCAAGCUAGAAAGGGUAUUACACCACAGAAGUCCCUUCCAGGACGAAAUGAACCAGAAGACAUAAAGGAACCCAGUGAGGCCACAGAGUUGUUGACUGCCUCAGAUGAGAAGGAGUCAAGCAGUGACACAUACCAUGAAUGAAGCAACUUUCUUUUCCGACAUUCAGAAGCAAUGUUAGCUAACUUCCCUGUCCUGUGUGUGAUAUGUCUCUUACCUGUAUGUGUGAUAUGCAUAGAAUGUAUUUGUUUGUUUGUGAAAAUGGAUUAAAAUUCACAUUUCAGAUUCCAUACUAGAUACAAAAUAAUGUUUACUGUAUUUGAAGCCUGCUUUAAUUACAACAUAGAUCUAGUUACAGCAAUGACAUAAUUGAGUUGCACUCUUGCUAGUACAUAGUUAAAAACAUGUUAUAUUUGUAAGUGAAUUUAGAUGUCGGUUUGUUAAUGCUGAAAUAUAAUAUCCAGAAUUGCUUUACUUUCCUGCAAAAAAUGUUGUAAAUCUUUAUGUUUUCCUGUUAUUACUUGUUUAGUCAACUAUACAUCCUAUGCCUGCACUGAAAAGUUAGGUGUAAGGUGUGAUGUUCAAUGAAAAAAAAUAUUUAAGAAUACUGCCUGUUACUGUCUUCUGUAACAUUUCUUUCCUGUAAUGUUAUUGUAUAUUGUUUCAAACACUGUUUACGUGAAAUAUGCACAUACGUAUCUAGAACAACAAUAAAAGUAUGUGUGUUCAGCAGAAAUGAA